UGCUGCAAGAGUCUCCAGACCUAAUCCUAGCUCUCUUGAUUUUGCCCCCGAGCUAUUAGGUCUGGCCAAGGGGGUAUACAGAGAAGAGGGCAUGCAACUCGCCCCAUUCUCAGAAUCAUCCGACUUCGUGUUGAGCUAUUUUUAGAACUGCCCACGCGUAACCUUUGACCGCACAAGGUAAAUCAAAGUAUUUUUUAUAUCUGUGCAUGUGCCAGCUAGCUAGCUAGAUUGCAGCAUAGUAAAACUAGUUCUCAGCAGCAGUAUGGCUUGUACUAGCAGUGUCAAAGGCAAAGGCAAACCAUCCAACAGUUGCAACUCCAAGAAGAUGAAACCUAGGUACAAUAAUCUGUCUUCCUGAGUCUCUGGUACUUCUUAACAAUGCGCCCAGCACUCAACUUCAUGCUCGAAGGGGUUGUCUUGGACCUGGCUGGACUAGGACUGGUCAUGACACUUCUCUAAAAUAAUACUGCACUGUUAGCUAGCUUAGCUAGGCAGCUCUGAUGUACACGCCCAUAAUUAUAACUCCGUAAACAACACCGCCCACUUGUUCACGUCCGUAUACUGGAUUCUAUUUUUAGCAUAUCCGGUCUCUGGUACGAAGUCGGAUGAGUACGUAGGAUACAUAGUGGACCUAUAUAGCUCUCUCUCUGAGGGUCUGGCUGCGGGGGGCCGUGCGCCCCCUGCUCUCUGGGGGGGCUCUCCCUGGGAUGUGAGAGUGUAGGGUCCUAUGGGCCAAAUCACUAUAAAAUGAACGAGCUUAGUGACGUACCUCCUGGGUAGCUUGGAAAGCGUCACACACUAUAUUCCACAGGUGUGAUGGUUCUCUUCCGUAUUAAAAUCAGGGUGAAAAUUGAAAGUAGCGUUAGGCAUCUGCAAAUCAUUUCAUGGUGCUAGCCUGUUCACCCUUAAAUCUCUAUGUGUAUGUGCAUGUACAUGUAUACUGUGGCUAUUGUCUUGUUCUGUUAUUAUGUCACUUGUAUAUACUUUUAACAUGUUUUUCUUGUUCCUUUUGUGUUUUUCUUUAGGACUACCUUUACAUCAGCAUUCAGUUGCUACUAGUCUUGUUUUUGUCCUUAUGCUUGCAUUACUAACUAUAAUUAUACUGACACAAAUUAUAGAAUUAA